rnacentral:rRNA from 1 species
GCUCCUGGAUUCAGCGGCGGACGGGUGAUUAAUGCCUAGGAAUCUGCCUGGUAGUGGGGGAUAACGUCCGGAAACGGGCGCUAAUACCGCAUACGUCCUGAGGGAGAARGUGGGGGAUCUUCGGACCUCACGCUAUCAGAUGAGCCUAGGUCGGAUUAUCUAGUUGGUGGGGUAAAGGCCUACCAAGGCGACGAUCCGUAACUGGUCUGAGAGGAUGAUCAAUCACACUGGAACUGAGACACGGUCCAUACUCCUACGGGAGGCAGCAGUG